rnacentral:rRNA from 1 species
CACUAUCGUUAACUGAAUACAUAGGUUAACGAGGCGAACCGGGGGAACUGAAACAUCUAAGUACCCCGAGGAAAAGAAAUCAACCGAGAUUCCCCCAGUAGCGGCGAGCGAACGGGGAGCAGCCCAGAGUCUGAAUCAGCUUGUGUGUUAGUGGAACGGUCUGGAAAGUCCGACGGUACAGGGUGAUAGUCCCGUACACCAAAAUGCACAGGUUGUGAACUCGAAGAGUAGGGCGGGACACGUGGUAUCCUGUCUGAAUAUGGGGGGACCAUCCUCCAAGGCUAAAUACUCCUGACUGACCGAUAGUGAACCAGUACCGUGAGGGAAAGGCGAAAAGAACCCCGGCGAGGGGAGUGAAAAAGAACCUGAAACCGUGUACGUACAAGCAGUGGGAGCACCUUCGGGUGUGACUGCGUACCUUUUGUAUAAUGGGUCAGCGACUUAUAUUCUGUAGCAAGGUUAACCGUAUAGGGGAGCCGCAGGGAAACCGAGUCUUAACUGGGCGUUAAGUUGCAGGGUAUAGACCCGAAACCCGGUGAUCUAGCCAUGGGCAGGUUGAAGGUUGGGUAACACUAACUGGAGGACCGAACCGACUAAUGUUGAAAAAUUAGCGGAUGACUUGUGGCUGGGGGUGAAAGGCCAAUCAAACCGGGAGAUAGCUGGUUCUCCCCGAAAGCUAUUUAGGUAGCGCCUCGUGAACUCAUCUUCGGGGGUAGAGCACUGUUUCGGCUAGGGGGUCAUCCCGACUUACCAACCCGAUGCAAACUACGAAUACCGAAGAAUGUUAUCACGGGAGACACACGGCGGGUGCUAACGUCCGUCGUGAAGAGGGAAACAACCCAGACCGCCAGCUAAGGUCCCAAAGUCAUGGUUAAGUGGGAAACGAUGUGGGAAGGCACAGACAGCCAGGAUGUUGGCUUAGAAGCAGCCAUCAUUUAAAGAAAGCGUAAUAGCUCACUGGUCGAGUCGGCCUGCGCGGAAGAUGUAACGGGGCUAAACCAUGCACCGAAGCUGCGGCAGCGACACUAUGUGUUGUUGGGUAGGGGAGCGUUCUGUAAGCCUGCGAAGGUGNUGCUGGAGGUAUCAGAAGUGCGAAUGCUGACAUAAGUAACGAUAAAGCGGGUGAAAAGCCCGCUCGCCGGAAGACCAAGGGUUCCUGUCCAACGUUAAUCGGGGCAGGGUGAGUCGACCCCUAAGGCGAGGCCGAAAGGCGUAGUCGAUGGGAAACAGGUUAAUAUUCCUGUACUUGGUGUUACUGCGAAGGGGGGACGGAGAAGGCUAUGUUAGCCGGGCGACGGUUGUCCCGGUUUAAGCAUGUAGGCUGAUUGUCCAGGCAAAUCCGGAUAAUCAAGGCUGAGGUGUGAUGACGAGGCACUACGGUGCUGAAGUAACAAAUGCCCUGCUUCCAGGAAAAGCCUCUAAGCAUCAGGUAACAUCAAAUCGUACCCCAAACCGACACAGGUGGUCAGGUAGAGAAUACCAAGGCGCUUGAGAGAACUCGGGUGAAGGAACUAGGCAAAAUGGUGCCGUAACUUCGGGAGAAGGCACGCUGGUGUGUAGGUGAAGUCCCUGCGGAUGGAGCUGAGACCAGUCGAAGAUACCAGCUGGCUGCAACUGUUUAUUAAAAACACAGCACUGUGCAAACACGAAAGUGGACGUAUACGGUGUGACGCCUGCCCGGUGCCGGAAGGUUAAUUGAUGGGGUUAUCCGUAAGGAGAAGCUCUUGAUCGAAGCCCCGGUAAACGGCGGCCGUAACUAUAACGGUCCUAAGGUAGCGAAAUUCCUUGUCGGGUAAGUUCCGACCUGCACGAAUGGCGUAAUGAUGGCCAGGCUGUCUCCACCCGAGACUCAGUGAAAUUGAACUCGCUGUGAAGAUGCAGUGUACCCGCGGCAAGACGGAAAGACCCCGUGAACCUUUACUAUAGCUUGACACUGAACAUUGAGCCUUGAUGUGUAGGAUAGGUGGGAGGCUUUGAAGCGUGGACGCCAGUCUGCGUGGAGCCAACCUUGAAAUACCACCCUUUAAUGUUUGAUGUUCUAACGUUGGCCCCUGACCGGGGUUGCGGACAGUGUCUGGUGGGUAGUUUGACUGGGGCGGUCUCCUCCCAAAGCGUAACGGAGGAGCACGAAGGUUAGCUAAUCCUGGUCGGACAUCAGGAGGUUAGUGCAAUGGCAUAAGCUAGCUUGACUGCGAGCGUGACGGCGCGAGCAGGUGCGAAAGCAGGUCAUAGUGAUCCGGUGGUUCUGAAUGGAAGGGCCAUCGCUCAACGGAUAAAAGGUACUCCGGGGAUAACAGGCUGAUACCGCCCAAGAGUUCAUAUCGACGGCGGUGUUUGGCACCUCGAUGUCGGCUCAUCACAUCCUGGGGCUGAAGUAGGUCCCAAGGGUAUGGCUGUUCGCCAUUUAAAGUGGUACGCGAGCUGGGUUUAGAACGUCGUGAGACAGUUCGGUCCCUAUCUGCCGUGGGCGCUGGAGAAUUGAGGGGGGCUGCUCCUAGUACGAGAGGACCGGAGUGGACGCAUCACUGGUGUUCGGGUUGUCAUGCCAAUGGCACUGCCCGGUAGCUAAAUGCGGAAGAGAUAAGUGCUGAAAGCAUCUAAGCACGAAACUUGCCCCGAGAUGAGUUCUCCCUGAGACUUUAAGUCUCCUGAAGGAACGUUGAAGACGACGACGUUGAUAGGCCGGGUGUGUAAGCGCAGCGAUGCGUUGAGCUAACCGGUACUAAUGAACCGUGAGGCUUAACCUU